rnacentral:sRNA from 17 species
GUCAGGAACUCAGGGCUCAAGCCACUGAGCUUGUAAGAAGUUGCAAGCUAUUCUGACCAGCCUAAGCCUUAAGUGGCUACGUUUUUUGAGUCACGACACCGGCGAAUGCGAAGCUAGUUUUCCGCUCUGUC